rnacentral:rRNA from 1 species
CUUGGUCAAUUAGAGGAAGUAAAAGUCGUAACAAGGUUUCCGUAGGUGAACCUGCGGAAGGAUCAUUAACGAGUUUGAAAUCGAGAGCCUGUUGCUGGUGCGGAAGCGCACAUCGUGCACGGCUCCCGUGCUCAAUCCAUUUCAACCCCCUUGUGCACCUUAUCGAAGUCAGUAGUCUUUCUCUUUUUGUUUGCCGGUUGUGUGUGGGAACCUCUUUCUGUUCACUUGGCCGGCGAGGAGAAAUAGAGGGUCGAAAGCUUUGACUUUUCUAUUAAACACUUUGUAUGUCUUGUGGAACGUAUUAGCUCCUUUGUAGGGGCGAAAUAAACACAACUUUCAACAACGGAUCUCUUGGCUCUCGCAUCGAUGAAGAACGCAGCGAAAUGCGAUAAGUAAUGUGAAUUGCAGAAUUCAGUGAAUCAUCGAAUCUUUGAACGCACCUUGCGCCCCUUGGUAUUCCGAGGGGCAUGCCUGUUUGAGUGUCAUGUUAAUCUCAAACCCCUUGUCUUUUUUGUUGACUUGGUCGGUUUGGACUUGGAGGUGUUGCUGGCGUGUGUACGCAGUACUAUGUGUCGGCUCCUCUUAAUUGCAUUAGCUGGACUUUGGUUCGCAUUUGACGGUGUAAUAGUAAAGUGUUCGCCGGGCGUGCUUUGCCUAACGGGUCUGCUUCUAAUCGUCUUCGGACAACUCUGUUCAUUUUGACCUUUGACCUCAAAUCAGGUAGGACUACCCGCUGAACUUAAGCAUAUCAAUAAGCGGAGGAAAAGAAACUAACAAGGAUUCCCCUAGUAACUGCGAGUGAAGCGGGAAGAGCUCAAAUUUAAAAUCUGGCGGCUUUCGGUCGUCCGAGUUGUAAUCUGGAGAGGCAUUUUCCGCGCUGGACCGUGUA